rnacentral:rRNA from 1 species
GUGGGGAAUCUUAGACAAUGGGGGAAACCCUGAUCUAGCCAUGCCGCGUGAGCGAUGAAGGCCUUAGGGUUGUAAAGCUCUUUCAGCUGGGAAGAUAAUGACGGUACCAGCAGAAGAAGCCCCGGCUAACUCCGUGCCAGCAGCCGCGGUAAUACGGAGGGGGCUAGCGUUGUUCGGAAUUACUGGGCGUAAAGCGCACGUAGGCGGAUCAGAAAGUCAGAGGUGAAAUCCCAGGGCUCAACCUUGGAACUGCCUUUGAAACUCCUGGUCUUGAGGUCGAGAGAGGUGAGUGGAAUUCCGAGUGUAGAGGUGAAAUUCGUAGAUAUUCGGAGGAACACCAGUGGCGAAGGCGGCUCACUGGCUCGGUACUGACGCUGAGGUGCGAAAGCGUGGGGAGCAAACAGGAUUAGAAACCCGGGUAGUCC